GGCGUGGCUGCAUUAAAACCGAAUUGUUUUACGCACACGAGCCUUCUUAGUGCUUGAAUGGGAAGUGGAGCACUUGGACAUGGAAAGGGUGCUCAUUGUCAAAUAAUUCACAUGGGUUUUCAUUAUUACCGCCACAUUGAAAAUGCUCUCAUUGCCAUGUAUUCCAAGUGUGGGGCACUUGACGAUGCCUUGUUCAUAUUUGAAAGUAUGCAGCGAAGGGAUUUUGUCACUUGGAACUCUAUGAUCGCAGAGUAUGCGCAGCAUGGGCAUGCACAAGAGGCAAUUUCUCUUUAAGAGAUGAUGAAUCAAGGUGUUAAUCCGGAUGAAGUUACUUACCUUGGCAUAUUGUCCUCGUGUUGGCAUGCUGACCUUGUUAAGGAGGGUCAAGAUUACUUAAAUUCCAUGAUUGAGCAUGGCAUGGAGCCAGAAAUGGAUCAUUACUCUUGCAUUGUGGGUCUUCUUGGUCAGGCUGGCUUGCUGCUGGAGGCUUGUGAUUUCAUCCGAAACAUGCCUAUUUGUCCCAAUGCUGUGAUAUGGGGUUCACUGCUUUCAUCAUCUAUGCUUCAUGGAGAUGUUUGGAUUGGCAUCGAAGCGGCAGAGAGUAGGUUAUUACUUGAACCAAGGUGCCCUGCAACACUUCAACAGCUGGCCAAUCUAUAUGCUAGCGUGUAGGUUGGCGGAAUCAGGUAGCACGAGUGUGAAAGUCACUGAAAGACAAAGGUCUGAAAUCGAAUCCUGGUUGUAGUUGGAUUGAAGUCAAAAGCAGAGUUCAUAGAUUUGAAGCACAAGAUAAGUCAAACAACAAAAUGACUGACAUUCUUUUGAUCAUGGGUAAUUUGAAUGAGCACAUGAGUAGUUUAGGUCUUUAGUCUCAGAUCUCUGGUGAGGAAAAUGUUUGGUCUUCAUAAUGCUAAAUGAGGAUCUCCAUUAUAGGGCUGUUCGCAUUUCUGGCAUUGACUCGCAGUCUAGAUUCCAUGCAUUUUUUGUCAGUAAAACAUACAUGGAUGACAAGACAUUCUAGAUGAAGUACAAGCAAAAUGGACGGUGAAAAUCUUCCUUUCAUGCAAAGAUGUUUUACAAGACUUUUCCUUCAUUCAAAGGAGAUUAUGUGCAGAUUUGGUAAAGUCUGGUUCAGUUCCUUGAGAGUUUAAACAGCGCUUUGAAGCUAAAAGACCGCCGCUAUCUGUUGGAUUUGGUGCAGUGGAUGAAGAAGAUUUAUGCCUAUAAGCAUCCACAAAUACUUUGAAGUUUAAACAAUUUUUUUGUGGCAGGUUUAUUGAAUGCUGCAGGAUCAACCAUGAACAUCAGAUGCUACUGGUGUUCUAGAUAUAGCAA